rnacentral:rRNA from 1 species
GAUGAACGCUGGCGGCGUGCCUAAUACAUGCAAGUCGAGCGAACAGACGAGGAGCUUGCUCCUCUGACGUUUUCGGCGGACGUGUGAUUAACACGUGGAUAACCUACCUAUAAGACUGGGAUAACUUCGGGAAACCGGAGCUAAUCCCGGAUAAUAUCUUUAACCUCAUUGUUCAAUAGUGAACGACGGUUUUGCUGUCUCUUAUAGAUGGAUCCGCGCCGCAUUAGCCAGUUGCUAAGUUAAUGGUUUACCAAGGCAACGAUGCUUAUCCGACCUGACCGGGUGAUCGGCCACACUGGAACUGAGACACGGUCCAGACUCCUACGGGAGGCAGCAGUAGGGAAUCUCCCGAAAUGGGCGAAAGCCUGACGGAGCAACGCCGCGUGAGUGAUGAAGGGCUUCGGAUCGUAAAACUCUGUUAUUAGCGAAGAACAAAUGUGUAAGUAACUAUGCACGGGUUGACGGUACCUAAUCAGAAAGCCACGGCUAACUACGUG